UAUAGAUUCAUUCACAAGCUGCUGAGACGAAUGGCAUGAACAGCGUUCUUUGCAGUUAAAAGCCUUCUUAAACAUGUUAGUGUAAUUGUACACUACUUCUAAUUAAAAGAUGCCGGCAAGACAUGGAUGGUUUCAAGAUGACUUUUUUUUAUUGCAUUACACACGACUUUUGACAAAAACUGGACGGAGUUGCGUCUAAUUUUAUUCAGACAGAAUGGAUUGCAUAAGUGAGUGAUUAAUAACGAUUUUGGAGGAGCCCAGUGGUUUCAUUCUUAUUGUACAGGAAAAUGUUAUAUGAAUGUAUGUAUCUCAGUAGAACGACAUUCGUUGUAGAAUGCUGGAAAAAAAACUUUUUCAAUAAUGACGAGAAAAAGGAGUUAACUGAAAGAGUGGAGGCACUUCUGCUGAAUCAAUUAACAAAACUAUAUUUUUACAAAGAGUUUUAGGUUUCCACUAAUGAAUACGAUGAACGAGGGAUGACUGAGUUUCGGACUGUGACGGACGUUUAUGAAAAAAAUCCCUGUUAUUAUUUUUAAUGAUAGUUUUAUUUCUUAUUGUUCAUAUAU